rnacentral:ncRNA from 1 species
CAUAAUACGGUUUCGCGAGGAUUAAUAGGGAAGGCGGUCAAAGUCCGCCGCAACAGCCAUUACCGUAGUCGGUUAAAGGGAGCAUUAUGCCACUGCGCAAGCGGGAAGGCGCUCCGCAAUAUACGCCGAAAGUCGGGAGACCUGCCGUAUUG